rnacentral:rRNA from 1 species
AACGAACGCUGGCGGCAUGCCUAACACAUGCAAGUCGAACGAGACCUUCGGGUCUAGUGGCGCAUGGGUGCGUAACGCGUUGGAACCUGCCCUUAGGUUCGGAAUAACUCCCCGAAAGGGGUGCUAAUACCGGAUAAUGUCUUCGGACCAAGGAUUUAUCGCCUUUGGAUGGGCCCGCGUUGGAUUAGCUAGUUGGUAGGGUAAAAGCCUACCAAGGCGACGAUCCAUAGCUGGUCUGAGAGGAUGAUCAGCCACACUGGGACUGAGACACGGCCCAGACUCCUACGGGAGGCAGCAGUGGGGAAUAUUGGACAAUGGGCGAAAGCCUGAUCCAGCAAUGCCGCGUGAGUGAUGAAGGCCUUAGGGUUGUAAAGCUCUUUUACCCGGGAUGAUAAUGACAGUACCGGGAGAAUAAGCUCCGGCUAACUCCGUG